CUACGGGGGGCUCCAGUGGGGAAUAUUGCACAAUGGGCGCAAGCCUGAUGCAGCCAUGCCGCGUGUAUGAAGAAGGCCUUCGGGUUGUAAAGUACUUUCAGCGGGGAGGAAGGGAGUAAAGUUAAUACCUUUGCUCAUUGACGUUACCCGCAGAAGAAGCACCGGCGAACUCCGUGCCAGCAGCCGCGGUAAUACGGAGGGUGCAAGCGUUAAUCGGAAUUACUGGGCGUAAAGCGCACGCAGGCGGUUUGUUAAGUCAGAUGUGAAAUCACCGGGCUCAACCUGGGAACUGCAUCUGAACUGGCAAGCUUGAGUCUCGUAGAGGGGGGUAGAAUUCCAGGUGUAGCGGUGAAAUGCGUAGAGAUCUGGAGGAAUACCGGUGGCGAAGGCGGCCCCCUGGACGAAGACUGACGCUCAGGUGCGAAAGCGUGGGGAGCAAACAGGAUUAGAUACCCCAGUAGUC
rnacentral:rRNA from 1 species